rnacentral:rRNA from 1 species
GCACAGGUGCUGCAUGGCUGUCGUCAGCUCGUGUCGUGUGAUGUUCGGUUAAGUCCGCUAACGAGCGCAACCCUCACUGUGUGUUAUAUGUGUCACACGGGACUGCCGGUUUUAAGCCGGAGGAAGGUGGGAUGACGUCAAGUCAGCAUGGCCUUUAUAUCCUGGGCUACACACACGCUACAAUGGUCGGUACAAUAGGUUGCCAAGCCGCGAGGCGGAGCCAAUCCAUAAAAAGCCGGCCUCAGUUCAGAUUGUAGGCUGCAACUCGCCUGCAUGAAGAUGGAGUUGCUAGUAACCGCAGGUCAGCAAUACUGCGGUGAAUACGUUCCCGGGUCUU